CCUUUUUAGGAGAGGGUUUUGUAGCUUCACCUCCCUCGUAGUAUAUAGUUUUGCUGUAACAGAAGUAUGUACUAGUUUUUUUACCUAAUUAUCUUUUCUAAACUAUGAAUUAUCAUCUGGUAAUAGAAAAUUCCUGUUAUUAAUUCGAAGUCUGCAACCGUGCACUUUGUACACUCUAACCUCUUCUCCUUUCAGUAACUGAAGUUCAAUGACCUGUAUGAUAUUCCAAGCCUUUUCUAGUUUGACACUGCCUCCAGACUUUGUCAUCGGAAAGAUGUGCAGUUUUCUGACUGACCAGCAUUCUGGAGAAUCUUGUUGGAAUUUCCAAAGAGCACAAGUGAAAAUGAAGCUCAGGGUAUUCUCAUCAGCUCUAGUACAUAUGGUACAAAUCUUACUCAAUAGCAGAUAUUAA
rnacentral:lncRNA from 12 species